AUCCCCCCUCCUCCUGCAUCUUCCCAGCCGCUGAAACAGUGAAGCAGUGCGUUCCUCAGCUCCUGACUGUCUCCCGCAGGCCUGCACUGCUCUGACUGCCAGCAAGAUUAUACACAGAUGAGGACCUGUUCUGAUCCUAAUGCAUCCCGGGUGCCAAAGAAGAUCAAUGAACUGCAAUGACAAGAUUCCAACAAUGUGGAAGUUGAAAACAUUUGAUCAUUUAGUUCUACACAUUUCAUGUACUUGCUCCCCUACCACCACCAAUUUAUUUGAAAGAUCCUAGAACUCAAAUAUGAUAGUUCAAAAUUUGUUCAAUGCACAUAGGAUUACACAAGAUGUAUAGCACAAAAAAGGUCAUUUGGCUCACAGCCCAUGCCAGUGCUCUACUUGAGCCUCCUCCUCUUUUCUCAUCUAAAUCCAACGUUAUAACCCUCUAUUCCCUUCUCCCUCAUAACUUGUCUCACUUCUCUUUAAAUUCAUCAAUAUUCUUUGCUUCAACCACUCCCUGUGGUAGUCUUCCACAAACCAACCGCUCUUUGGGUAAAGUUGUUUCUUUUGAAUCACCAGUUGGAUUUCUUGGUGACUAUUGUACAUUGAUGACCUCCAAUUAUGCUGUUCCCCAGGAGAAGAAAUGUUCUCUCUGUACCCACUCUAUCAAGAUCUUUCAUAAUAUUAAAGACCCUAUUUGGCCACCCU